CUUCCGCCUCUAUUGUAGCUAACUGGGGAAAUCCAUUUUGCAGGUGAGUAACCUCGGCUCUUUUAAGCCCUUCUACUGCUAAUGCAUGCGCCACUUUAUUAUACAUUCUCGAGUGGGACCAUGGAGUUAAUAAUUUGUGAAGCUUAUUUUAAUUAUACAUGGACAUGAGCUUUAUUCUACCUUAUUUGGACGGAAAAGGCAAGCAAAUUGGGUCAGGAGAAUGUCACUUUGAUCCAGUUAAAGUUGGUUUAAUCGAAGAACAAGUCUGACAAGUAAUUGUGUCACAAAAUCGUCCAAGCAAUGGGGAAAGAAGCCCAAAUCGGUAAGGGCAUAUGAGCAGCUCAAAAUCAACUUUUGGAAGAUUUAUUCAGAGGUCCCUACACUUGUAAAAGAAUUAAAAAUCGACACUAAACUUUUACCCAAUAAAUCAUCCACCUCCUUGCUUGAUUCAUGCAUGAAAUCAAGCAUGAAUCAAGCAGCCAACAACCUCCCCUUUCCAUACUUCAUGGACGGCCAAGCAAAGGAGAACUUUAAGGGAUAUUUAAACUAUUUUUAGUAAACUUCUUAACCAUCCCUCUAUUAUAAAUAUCACCCUUUACUUCCCAUUCAUUCAUCCUUCAUCCCUCUUCCCUCACCAUUCAAUAAUCUCUCAAUCCCUUAACUCACAUCUUUCAUUUCCCUCUCACACAUAAACCAUCCAUUUUCCUUCCAUUUAGCUAGCAAUUCUUUAAGAAAAUUCUCUCUUGGCUAGCCACCUUGAGGAGCAAUUAGGAGAUAGGGAUAAGCCAUCAUGAUUAAUUUCUAGAGGAUUGUCGAAAUUAUUUCAGAGAUUUUUCUUCCUUAAUAUUUAUUGUUGUUCAACAUGUUUGCAAUUUGAUCUGUUGUUUUUUCAUUAACAAUGAUAGCUUAAUUUUGUUUAGCUAGAAUGAUUACAUCAAUUUGAAGAAGUUUAUGUGAUUUAUGUUCA